rnacentral:tRNA from 1 species
UGCCCUAUAAGUUCUAAUGGUUAAGGCUCAAGACUUUGAAUCUUGCGAUCUGGGUUCGACUCCCAGUGGGGCUA